rfam:Candidatus Burkholderia humilis strain TZHbot5 BHTMctg79, whole genome shotgun sequence.
UUAUCGGUGCAAAUUCGACCCGGCUAACUCUCGCUCCGGCCGGAAGCACAAGGAGCGGUCCAGGAGGCAACGAGUGGGCUGAAGCACUUCUUGAAACCGUGAGUUGCCGGUUGAGGAAAUGCGG